AGGACAGAAUUGGCCUUUUGGGCUGCAAGACCACGCUGCUGGCUUGCAUCCAAUUUUCAUAUACCUGAAAGCCCAAAUCAGAAUCCAGCAGACUCUCUCAACUACUUAUUGCCACAAAUAAAGGUUCUGCUUUUCCUCAACCAGAGGUCUCCUUGUCUAUACCCAUGUCCCAAGUGGAUCAGCAUUUGCCUUUGCUGGUUACUCUGAGGUCUUCACUGGGCUGAUCCUCAGAUUUCUCAAGGCUCUUCUUUAUUGAGAUGUUCUACCCAGCCCUUCACAAGGAAGCAGUACGGCAGACCUGAGAUUUCCAUCUACCUAGCAUCCUCACCAAGAAUAUUUUCCUGGAUAAACUGCAGACCUUGCAGCAUCCAUCUGAAAAACAGAGAACUGCUAAGGCUGGUACCUGCAGUUAAAGUUUGGAAAAAGAAGAAACGCUACACCAUCUACGCACAGCAAGUGCUGCAUCAUGUGGGCACAAAGAUAUCCUCCAUCCUUGAAGUGACAGCAGUUUACAAGUUAAGCAAUUAAUAUUUACUUCUGUGUCAUUUUGUGUGUUUAGCCUCCAGUUACAUCUGACUUUUUGCUGAGCAAGCAGCAAGGAAUAGAAGAUUCUCUCUAUGAACUUUAUUUCUAUAUAUGUCCACGUAUGAAUUUGUAUCAUAUCAAUUUAUUGAGUAUUCUGCUGAAAUGAAACCUUGGCAAAUUUUCUGCUUCAAGUUCGUACAAGGAACUGUUUUCAGAGGGUACAGUGACCUGAUUUUCAGAUACAGAAUAUGUAAAUCAGUGUUUCCUGUAUUCCUUCCACGAAGUUUUCUAUAAUGCAAAUUGUAAUAAAGUCAUGGACAGGUGCUACACAGCACGUUUUGUUUAUAUGGUGUUCCUUAUCUUGUAAAGCGCGAUAGUAACACUUUAAAGCAUGAUUUACCAGCCUAGCAAGAGCUUUGGUUCUAUCUUUUGAAAAGUAAACCAGAUUUCUACCAGAAGAGUGGAAAAUAUUCAAGACAAUUCUCCAAAGCUGUGUCAGAGAAUUAAUUAAACAAGACAGACAUUUCCACCUAAAAGGCCCAGGGCAGGGAUGAAGCUAACACUAAUCAAGUUUAAGCACUUCAGAAAAGGCAGAAGAACACAGAGAGCUUGGAUAGAGCUCAAAUGGUGCUGAACUGUAUUUCUUACCUUUGUGAAACCUGACGACAAGCUGCCAAAUGCACAGGGAACAGAGGAUCACAGUCACUGCACAGCAGGCAAUCCCAAGCAACACUCUCUCCCAGUGGAGUGAAGGCAUGUUGCGGUGCCGAAUGUCUGCUGUGCUAUAAAAUUAUAUUAUACAUCCAUAACCUCGUGAUUGAUAAACCAUUAACUGCUACUUGCCUACCGCUAGAACUUUAACCUUUUCAGUUCCAUCUUG
rnacentral:lncRNA from 7 species